rnacentral:tRNA from 1 species
GUUGGAAUGUUGCUCAAUGGUAGGGUGCUUGCCUAGCAUGCAUGAGGUCCUGGGUUUGAUACCCAGUACUAGCA